GCAUGAAUGGUGUAGCGGUAACAUUUAACCCUUUCAUUAUGAAAGGUUAAGCUUGAGGUUCGACUCCUCGAUCAUGCA